UUAAGUCAUAUUCACUCCAAAACACUAACCAACCUUCUUCUUGCUUCUCAAAGCUUUCCA
rnacentral:sRNA from 1 species